UCUAUUAUUGUGUGUGUCUGUGAGGGAGUUGGUUCUAGUUGUGGGGGGGGGGAGUGUUUAUAUUACAGUUUACAGACCUUUUCCAGAAUUGUUUUGUUUCUGUAGGUAGCGGUACCGUGUGAUAAAAUCUGUGUUGUAGUAGGGAAGAGUUGUUGGGCUUUGUGGGUGGGGGGUAGUCGGGUCGUGUGUCCAGAUUGACGGUUGUAGGUCUCGCCUGCUGACAACGAGGUUGCAGGUCUGUGAUUCUCUUUGACACAAUAAACUUUGUACAUACACA